rnacentral:rRNA from 1 species
GAUGAACGCUGGCGGCGUGCCUAAUACAUGCAAGUCGAGCGAACGGACGAUAAGCUUGCUUCUCUGCUGUUAGUGGCUGACGGGUGAGUAACACGUGCAUAACCUACCUAUAAGACUGGGGUAACUUCGGGAAACCGUAGCUAAUACCAGAUAAUAUUUUGAACCGCAUGGUUCAAAAGUGCAACACGGUCUUCCUGUCACUUAUAGAUGGAUCCGCGCUGCAUUAGCUAGUUGGUAAGGUAACGGCUUACCAAGGCAACGAUGCAUAGCCGACCUGAGAGGGUGAUCGGCCACACUGGAACUGAGACACGGUCCAGACUCCUACGGGAGGCAGCAGUAGGGAAUAUUCCGCAAUGGGCGAAAGCCUGACCGAGCAACGCCGCGUGAGUGAUGAAGGUCUUCGGAUUGUAAAACCCUGUUAUUAGGGAAGAAAAUAUGUGUAAGUAACUGCGGACAUCUUGACGGUACCUAAUGAGAAAGCCACGGCUAACUUCGUG